AUACGUAGGUGGCAAGCGUUGUCCGGAAUUAUUGGGCGUAAAGCGCAUGUAGGCGGUGCCUUAAGUCUGUCGUGAAACUGCGGGGCCUAACCCCGUAUGGCGAUGGAAACUGUGGCACUUGAGUGCAGGAGAGGAAAGGGGAACUCCCAGUGUAGCGGUGAAAUGCGUAGAUAUUGGGAAGAACACCGGUGGCGAAGGCGCCUUUCUGGACUGUGUCUGACGCUGAGAUGCGAAAGCCAGGGUAGCGAACGGGAUUAGAUACCCCGGUAGUCCUGGCCGUAAACGAUGGGUACUAGGUGUGGGAGGUAUCGACCCCUUCCGUGCCGGAGUUAACGCAAUAAGUACCCCGCCUGGGGAGUACGGCCGCAAGGCUUAAACUCAAAUGAAUUGACGGGG
rnacentral:rRNA from 1 species